rnacentral:rRNA from 1 species
AUUGAACGCUGGCGGCAGGCCUAACACAUGCAAGUCGAACGAGAGGCGGACGGGUGAGUAAUGUCUGGGAAACUGCCCGAUGGAGGGGGAUAACUAAUGGAAACGGUAGCUAAUACCGCCUACCAUCGGAUGUGCCCAGAUGGGCUUAGCUAGUAGGUGGGGUAAAGGCUCACCUAGGCGACGAUCCCUAGCUGGUCUGAGAGGAUGCACAGCAACACUGGAACUGAGACACGGUCCAGAGUCCUACGGGAGGCAGCAGUGGAGAAUAUUGCACAAUGGGCGCAAGCCUGAUGCAGCCAUGCCGCGUGUAUGAAGAAGGCCUUCGGGUUGUAAAGUACUUUCAGCGGGGAGGCGUUACCCGCAGAAGAAGCACCGGCUAACUCCGUGCCAGCAGCCGCGGUAAUAC